rnacentral:lncRNA from 1 species
CCAGCUACAUGGUUUUCUUCCAGUAUCCUUAAGUUAUCAGCAUUUAAAUCAUUGCAAAGUGUAAUGUUCACCUCAUCCCCAUGGCUUAGAUUGAAGUAUUUUUUAUUUAGGACAUCCAUGGUAUCAAUGCUACCUACACAAGAUAAAUCACAAGGAUAUUUCAUUGCAUCAUACAUAUUAAACCUUACCAUUUCACUGUUGAAUUCCAUAGUAAGGCUUCCAUCUUGAUCAUCUAUUUUUGUUCUAGUGGUACUG